UCUCCGUUGGUGAACCAGCGGAGGGAUCAUUACCGAGUUUACAACUCCCAAACCCCUGUGAACAUACCAUUUGUUGCCUCGGCGGUGCCUGCUUCGGCAGCCCGCCAGAGGACCCAAACCCUUGAUUUUAUACAGUAUCUUCUGAGUAAAUGAUUAAAUGAAUCAAAACUUUCAACAACGGAUCUCUUGGUUCUG
rnacentral:misc_RNA from 1 species